rnacentral:rRNA from 1 species
AGUUUGAUCCUGGCUCAGAUUGAACGCUGGCGGCAGGCCUCACACAUGCAAGUCGAGCGGUAGAGAGGUGCUUGCACCUCUUGAGAGCGGCGGACGGGUGAGUAAUGCCUAGGAAUCUGCCUGGUAGUGGGGGAUAACGUUCGGAAACGGACGCUAAUACCGCAUACGUCCUACGGGAGAAAGCAGGGGACCUUCGGGCCUUGCGCUAUCAGAUGAGCCUAGGUCGGAUUAGCUAGUUGGUGGGGUAAUGGCUCACCAAGGCGACGAUCCGUAACUGGUCUGAGAGGAUGAUCCGUCACACUGGAACUGAGACACGGUCCAGACUCCUACGGGAGGCAGCGGGGGGGAAUAUUGGACAAUGGGCGAAAGCCUGAUCCAGCCAUGCCGCGUGUGUGAAGAAGGUCUUCGGAUUGUAAAGCACUUUAAGUUGGGAGGAAGGGCAGUUACCUAAUACGUGAUUGUCUUGACGUUACCGACAGAAUAAGCACCGGCUAACUCUGUGCCAGCAGCCGCGGUAAUACAGAGGGUGCAAGCGUUAAUCGGAAUUACUGGGCGUAAAGCGCGCGUAGGUGGUUUGUUAAGUUGGAUGUGAAAUCCCCGGGCUCAACCUGGGAACUGCAUUCAAAACUGACAGGCUAGAGUAUGGUAGAGGGUGGUGGAAUUUCCUGUGUAGCGGUGAAAUGCGUAGAUAUAGGAAGGAACACCAGUGGCGAAGGCGACCACCUGGACUAAUACUGACACUGAGGUGCGAAAGCGUGGGGAGCAAACAGGAUUAGAUACACUGGUAGUCCACGCCGUAAACGAUGUCAACUAGCCGUUGGGAGCCUUGAGCUCUUAGUGGCGCAGCUAACGCAUUAAGUUGACCGCCUGGGGAGUACGGCCGCAAGGUUAAAACUCAAAUGAAUUGACGGGGGCCCGCACCAACGGGGGGAGCAUGUGGUUUAAUUCGAAGCAACGCGAAGAACCUUACCAGGGCCUUACAUCCAAAGAACUUUCUAGAGAUAGAUUGGUGCCUUCGGGAACAUUGAGACAGGUGCUGCAUGGCUGUCGUCAGCUCGUGUCGUGAGAUGUUGGGUUAAGUCCCGUAACGAGCGCAACCCUUGUCCUUAGUUACCAGCACGUAAUGGUGGGCACUCUAAGGAGACUGCCGGUGACAAACCGGAGGAAGGUGGGGAUGACGUCAAGUCAUCAUGGCCCUUACGGCCUGGGCUACACACGUGCUACAAUGGUCGGUACAGAGGGUUGCCAAGCCGCGAGGUGGAGCUAAUCCCAGAAAACCGAUCGUAGUCCGGAUCGCAGUCUGCAACUCGACUGCGUGAAGUCGGAAUCGCUAGUAAUCGCGAAUCAGAAUGUCGCGGUGAAUACGUUCCCGGGCCUUGUACACACCGCCCGUCACACAAUGGAAGUGGGUUGCACCAGAAGUAGUUAGUCUAACCUUCGGGAGGACGGUUACCACGGUGUGAUUCAUGACUGGGGUGAAGUCUUAACACGGUAGCCGUA